CUCAUCACUAGUAACAACAACGCUGCGGUUUAUCAAAACACGAAUAAACCGGCCAAACAAGAUUGCAGGAAACAACUAAUCGAUUAUGAAAUAUAGAAGAACAUACACUGAGGUGGAAACACCACACACUCCAUCAGAAAGAACUCCAGGUUUUCUCGCAGAUUGGCCUUCUAGAUGCAAACAACACACAGAUGGUGAAGUUGGGGUUGACUGUGCUCAGACUGAAGACAAACUUGUGUGCGACCACCGGCUCGUCUGUAUCCACCGCACUGAUGGUCUGAAUGAGCUGGAAGACAGCAGACCUAUGAGAGGAGGUGGUCUCGGUCCCAAGUGAACUCUGGGGCUUGGAGGAGUUUGUUUGUGGCGAGAACAUAAACAGACCUUAAUCAGAACCAACAGUCAAAUAUAUCUCCUCAAGUUUGAGCUACAAAGCUUUUCAGUUAAACUCGUUAGCUGAUUUGGACCAGAUAAACAAACUACAGCCAUCAGAACGUAGAUUACUGCUUUUUAUGUAUGUUAUUUUUCAUGUUUUUGAAUGUGGAAUAUGGAGCUACACUACCAUGUAUUUCCUCCAUUACAGCGCUCUGUUUAAUUCAGUAACUCGGCACAUUAAAACGUUUUAAUUCAAAAAGCAUCCAAACUACCCUGAGAUUUCGUUAUAAUAAACUAAAGAAAGAAAUCUGCUAGGCACCACACACUACACUAUGUUUUCCCCCUCCCAAAUAAAUGGGGACGUACCAGCAUUUAAACAUUUUGAUUAGUGCUAUUAAUCGUGAUUUAUAGAGAGUCAUUGACACCACUAAUAUGAAAAUAAUUUAGUUACGUCAGUCUUACACUAAUUACUUUGUCUUCGUUUUAACAACCAUUAAUAAAAGCUUAGGCUUUAAGGAGAAGAAAAAAGUUAUUUGGUUUUAUUUUGGCGAUUGACACCAACAAUUUCUUUGCAUAUUUUUAAAUAAUAUGGUGUUUUAUUAUUAUUAUUUUUUAAUUAAACACUAUG